CGUGAGAAUUCUUUGAUUUUCCGGGAUUAAAAGUAGCCCAUGUCACAUUCCAGUUCUUUAAUUAUAUCCAUGCAAAAAAGUCACGCCAAUCCGUUGCUCAGUUGCGGCGUGUUUAAAGGACAGAACAACAAACAAACAAACACACAU